AGGCAAUUCAGCAGUGUGACUGGAAGGGGUAGAGCCUGGCUCCAGCUCUCCUAGACCCCAUUUAAGGGCUGACUGCCACUAGAGAAGGAUCUCUCUCUCUGGAGAUUGCUCCUCUUGGAGUUUUUCCUGUGAGUCUGUAAAAUGGAGGUGCUUUCAUCCACUUGGUACACUUUUCCAUCGCUUGAAUGUGGCACGGCCAACUCAAAAGAACUCUGCCCAGACUUAAAAUUUGCAGCUUGAUUCUGAUACGGAGGAAUGGAUAAGCUUGAAGGCAGUGGCAGAGUCAUCUGGUAGUAAGGAAACUGCUGACCCACUGGACUGUGAACUGUGAAUUGCUGUUCUAAAAAAUGGUUCAUCUAGAGAAAUACAAACUUGAGUUGUUAAUACCGUUAAGAGAAACUUCUGAAGAGUUUUAUUUCACAUGCAUUACAGCUUUUACCCUGAAUAGCAAAGUUGUAUAAAAUAGCAAGGUUUAAAAGUAAAGCUUAUUAUUU
rnacentral:lncRNA from 1 species